GACGAACGCUGGCGGCGUGCUUAACACAUGCAAGUCGAACGGAAAGGCCCUGCUUUUGUGGGGUGCUCGAGUGGCGAACGGGUGAGUAACACGUGAGUAACCUGCCCUUUACUUUGGGAUAACUUCAGGAAACUGGGGCUAAUACCGGAUAGGAGCUCCUGCUGCAUGGUGGGGGUUGGAAAGUUUCGGCGGUUGGGGAUGGACUCGCGGCUUAUCAGCUUGUUGGUGGGGUAGUGGCUUACCAAGGCUUUGACGGGUAGCCGGCCUGAGAGGGUGACCGGCCACAUUGGGACUGAGAUACGGCCCAGAAUCCUACGGGAGGCAGCAGUGGGGAAUAUUGCACAAUGGGCGGAAGCCUGAUGCAGCAACGCCGCGUGCGGGAUGACGGCCUUCGGGUUGUAAACCGCUUUCGCCUGUGACGAAGCGUGAGUGACGGUAAUGGGUAAAGAAGCACCGGCUAACUACGUG
rnacentral:rRNA from 1 species